UCACGUAUCCACGUAUAAACCACUGCGAACUGUAUUCCCUUCAAAAGGGUUGAGGUCUCCUUCGGGGAGCUUUAGGCCAGUAGUCCUCUCGAUUUCGUGAUGGAGGGGCGGUCUAGAGUUGUCUCACGACACCUUGGUUCUUUUGGAGCGGUUAUCCAUCACGAACCGUUUCAAACCUUAUUAACCCCUUUAAACUUUUUUGAACUGAAUCUGUAAGCCUUUUGAAUGUCCCUCGGGACGAUCAAAGUGUCUUAUACUUUACGAAAUAUUCGAA
rnacentral:misc_RNA from 1 species